rnacentral:rRNA from 1 species
GACAGAGGGUGCAAACGUUGCUCGGAAUUACUGGGCGUAAAGCGCGUGUAGGCGGGAAGAUAAGUCGGGUGUGAAAUCCCUGGGCUCAACCUAGGAACUGCAUUCGAAACUGUCUUUCUGGAGUGAUGGAGAGGAAAGCGGAAUUCCCGGUGUAGAGGUGAAAUUCGUAGAUAUCGGGAGGAACACCAGUGGCGAAGGCGGCAUCCUGGACCGGCAUUGACGCUGAGGCGCGAAAGCCAGGGGAGCAAACGGG